rnacentral:rRNA from 1 species
GAUGAACGCUGGCGGCGUGCCUAAUACAUGCAAGUCGAGCGAACGGACGAGAAGCUUGCUUCUCUGAUGUUAGCGGCGGACGGGUGAGUAACACGUGGAUAACCUACCUAUAAGACUGGGAUAACUUCGGGAAACCGGAGCUACUACCGGAUAAUAUUUUGAACCGCAUGGUUCAAAAGUGAAAGACGGUCUUGCUGUCACUUAUAGAUUGAUCCGCGCUGCAUUAGCUAGUUGGUAAGGUAACGGCUUACCAAGGCAACGAUGCAUAGCCGACCUGAGAGGGUGAUCGGACACACUGGAAGUGAGACACGUUCCAGACUCCUACGGGAGGAAGCAGUAGGGAAUCUUCCGCAAUGGGCGAAUGCCUGACGGAGCAACGCCGCGUGAGUGAUGAAGGUCUUCGGAUCGUAAAACUCUGUUAUUAGGGAAGAACAUAUGUGUAAGUAACUGUGCACAUCUUGACGGUACCGAAUCAGAAAGCCACGGCUAACUCCGUG